rnacentral:rRNA from 1 species
GAAGGUGGCAAGCGUUGUUCGGAAUCACUGGGCUUAAAGCGCGCGUAGGCGGAAAUACAAGUGUCUUGUGAAAUCCCUCGGCUUAACCGAGGAAUUGCUUGGCAAACUGUAUUUCUUGAGGCAAGUAGGGGUACAUGGAACUCUUGGUGGAGCGGUGGAAUGCGUAGAUAUCAAGAGGAACGCCAAUGGUGAAGACAGUGUACUGGGCUUGUCCUGACGCUGAGGUGCGAAAGCGUGGGGGAGCGAACGGGAUUAGAUACCCCGGUAGUCCACGCCGUAAACGAUGUCUACUAGGUCGUGGGAGUUCUGACACUAUCACGGCCGGAGCAAAAGUGUUAAGUAGACCGCCUGGGGAGUACGGCCGCAAGGCUA